AUGGUUUUGGGAACUGGUCUAAGAUGCAUACCUGUAUCAGACUUAAUGCUUAAAAGAAGAUUAAUUCAUGGAGGACAGAUGUUAAAUGGAUUGGCAGGUCCAACUGUAAUGAAUGCAGCACCAUUUCUCUCCACGACGUGGUUUUCUGCAGAUGAAAGGGCCACAGCCACAGCUAUUGCAUCAAUGCUCAGUUAUCUUGGGGGAGCAUGUGCAUUUUUAGUUGGACCACUUGUUGUUCCAGCUCCCAAUGGGACAUCACCUCUUCUCGCUGCAGAGAGCAGCAGGGCACAUAUUAAAGAUCGCAUAGAGGCUGUGUUAUAUGCAGGUAAUUUGAAGUUUAUUUUCUUCUUGUUAUACUUUGUCUUUUAUCUCAAUCAUCUUCACUCUACGUUUUGUAUACCAGACACCUUCAUAUGAAAUACUUGAGAGGACUAAUAUGUAAACUUACAUACACUGUGCAUUCCUUAUCAUAUGAUAUAGAGAUGCUUAAUUAAAACUUAGCACUCUUCCUGGGAAGUUAAAUUUUAAAUUUAUUAUUGCCACAUGGAGGGGUAUUUCUUAAUUUAGUCUUUUUAUCUAUUUGCAGUUAAGCAUUGUAUAACACAUUUUCUGUGUCCUCUGUAGAUAUCAGGAUAGAAAACGUCGUGAUUGACAAUAACCAUUUGUUAAACAUCUAUCUGUUGGUAGAUGUUAAGCCCAUUUUCUCCCUUGUAGUUUCUCCAUUAUUGGCCAUGUUCUGUAACCUUAUUUACCUUGAUCAUCUACAGUUUAUCCUCAUUUCCUACUCUCUGUAUGUUUAGUCUGUUAUUCAGGGAUACUGACCUUUCUAAAAUAUUCUCUUUGAAUUAUUUUAUUUCUAGAGUCGAGCCCUGGUCCACUCUUAUAGUAUAGUCUCCUACAGAUUUUCAUAGAUAUAGCCCCUCUCUCCAUAUGCCUGUUUAUUAUUUCCUCUGCAUUCAGGAAACUUUUUGUAAGUGUUUACUAUAUGCCAAGCACUGUGCUAAGCACUAGGAAUUGGUAAGGUCAAUGAUGAGACAAUUGUAAUACAAACAAAGAUAUACAGAAGUUGGGAGACCUAACUUGCCUGGGUUUGUAGGGAAGUUGAGGGGGGAGUAUAGGCUUCAACAAGAAUGUAAUAAUUAAAGUUAAGAAUUUUGUAGGAGUUCACCAAGUGUUUGAGUGGUUAGUGUAUUCCAUACAGAGGGAACAGUAACUGCAAAGGCAGGGAAGGUAUGAGAGAGCUCAAUAUGUCUAGGGAACUGCAAGUAAUUGAGUAUGGCUGGAGUGGUAUAAAUGUUUGUGUUUGGGUAUAGGUAACAAGUGGCAGAAAAUGAGACUGGAACAAUAAGGGACCCAAUUAUACUGAACCUUGUUUUAACUUCUUUGUUCACUUAUCAAUUUCACAAACAUGUUUUGAACGCCUGUGUAUCUGUCACUAUGCGAGUCACUGAGAUAGGCAUGGUUCCUGGUGUAACAGAACUUACAGUGUUCUGAAUGGUACAGACAGGUCAACAGUUAUAAAAUAGAACAGUGAGUAUUAUAAACCAAAGGCCUACAAUUGCUCUAAGAGCUCAGAAAGGAGCAUCUAACCCAGAUUUUGGAGGUGAAGUAGAGCUUCCUGGAGAUGCAGCAUCUAAAUCAGAGUCUGAGGAAUGAGAGAAUGAUGGUUAAAUACAGCAGGCAGGAAGAUUACACUAUGGAGAAGAAACUUAAAGGAGAAGCCCGAUGAAGGGAGACACCCUGGUACAUUCAAGCCCAGAGUGGCUGAGAUCUGGUGAGAGCAGUAGUAGGUGAAGCUAGAGAGGAAAGCAAGCCCCACGCAAACCUUCUAAGCAGGGCUGAAGGGUUUGAGGUUCACCAUAUUGUAGGCAAAGGCCACACUCUGAAGAAUUGUACAUCAGAGAGUUAUUUGAUGACAUUUACAUUUCAAAAUAUGGUUUAGAGGGAUUAAAACUGAAAGCAGCAGUAUAUAAAGCAUUUCACCUCCUUUACACAACUUACCCCUUUUAAAGAAAAAGUAAAAAUGUAAAAAUGAGUAAAUAAAACUGAACGCAGGUGAAACGUAAGUUUUAAACUU
rnacentral:lncRNA from 10 species